rnacentral:rRNA from 1 species
GAGUUUGAUCCUGGCUCAGGACGAACGCUGGCGGCGUGCUUAACACAUGCAAGUCGAACGAUGAAAUCACUUCGGUGGUGGAUUAGUGGCGAACGGGUGAGUAACACGUGGGCAAUCUGCCCUUCACUCUGGGACAAGCCCUGGAAACGGGGUCUAAUACCGGAUACCACCUUGUCCCGCAUGGGACGGGGUUGAAAGCUCCGGCGGUGAAGGAUGAGCCCGCGGCCUAUCAGCUUGUUGGUGGGGUAAUGGCCUACCAAGGCGACGACGGGUAGCCGGCCUGAGAGGGCGACCGGCCACACUGGGACUGAGACACGGCCCAGACUCCUACGGGAGGCAGCAGUGGGGAAUAUUGCACAAUGGGCGAAAGCCUGAUGCAGCGACGCCGCGUGAGGGAUGACGGCCUUCGGGUUGUAAACCUCNUUCAGC